CAAAGAAAGGGGAAAACCAAAGAGAAUGACUGUCACGCCACCGCCAAAGGUGGCGGAUAGAGAGAUAGAGAGAGAGAGAUACGUACAUACGUACGUACGUAGGCCUUCGAA
rnacentral:ribozyme from 1 species